rnacentral:rRNA from 1 species
CUGACGCUGAGGCACGAAAGCGUGGGGAUCAAACAGGAUUAGAUACCCUGGUAGUCCACGCAGUAAACGAUGAUGACUUGUUGUCGGCGAUAGACAGUCGGUGACAAAGCGAAAGCGAUAAGUCAUCCACCUGGGGAGUACGAUCGCAAGGUUGAAACUCAAAGGAAUUGACGGGGGCCCGCACAAGCGGAGGAACAUGUGGUUUAAUUCGAUGAUACGCGAGGAACCUUACCCGGGCUCAAACGCAUCGUGCUACGCCCUGAAAGGGGCGGUUCUUCGGACGCGAUGCGAGGUGCUGCAUGGUUGUCGUCAGCUCGUGCCGUGAGGUGUCGGCUUAAGUGCCAUAACGAGCGCAACCCCCAUCUUCAGUUGCCAUCGGUCGAAGCCGGGCACUCUGGAGAGACUGCCGGCGCAAGCUGUGAGGAAGGCGGGGAUGACGUCAAAUCAGCACGGCCCUUACGUCCGGGGCGACACACGUGUUACAAUGGCGGGGCACAGCGGGAAGCCAGGCGGCGACGCCGAGCCGAUCCCGAAAACCCGUCUCAGUUCGGAUCGGAGUCUGCAACCCGACUCCGUGAAGCUGGAUUCGCUAGUAAUCGC